ensembl:lncRNA
CUGCAACGCAUCACUACUCACCUUUCUGGGGGCAUGCCAGGUGACCGGGGGCCUGAACUCGGCCACAAUAAUGCUCGAGUCAAUGCUGGAUGAUUCGCCGCAGCAAAGUUGCACUGAUCACGAACUGUCUGCCAUCAACGACCGUGAAGACAACGUUGAGUUGCCGCCACCGCUGGGCUGCAGCUCUCCCGUGCCGUCGUGGAGCAGCUCUGGAGAAGCAUCUUCAGAACGGGGAAAAAUGAAGAGGUGGUACCUCGGAAAUCAUUCAAUAUCUGGAAAGGGCAGAUGAGAGGUUCCUGCAGCACAGCAAGGCAAUGGAUGAUGCCUUGUGUCAGGACAUGAGAGCGGACACCCAAUCCCUGCUUGGACUCAUGGGGCGCACGGUGGCCGUAUUGGAGACACAAGUUAAAAAAUAAUUUUGGUUGCCGCUUUUCAUGUCUUUUUUUUUUUUUUUACACAAUUGUUACCUGCAGAACUUUAUUUUUUUAAAAGAUUUCUGUUGUUUUUUUUGGUUUAAAUAAACAUGUUUAGUAAUGCAAAUAGCUGGUCCAGUUUCUUAAACACUUAACAGGCAAAUAUUGUAUUAUGGUUUGUGUUUUUAAUGUAAUUUACUUUUAUAUAAAUGUGUACAUUAAACAGCCAAGUGAUGCGAUUAGCUGCAUAUACAAAUCUAUAUUAUUUCGACAUGAAAUAUGAUUAAAAUCCAAGUUACUUUAUGAUUGGUAGUUAAUAAAAACUUGGUUGGUUUUAAUCCUGGCCAGAAGUGUGAAAGGGUUGUUGAUUGAGG